CAGGGUCGCAGCUUCCCUGUUCCCUAUCCGUGCUGAUGCUGGGAACCGAGAGUCUUCUUUUGUUUUCCCUCUCACCUCUGGCUGCCUCUCCUUCCCUGCAAAGGUCAGAGCAGUGCCAAGGACAGAAGAGAGGGUAGACCCAGCCUUGGCCAUGCUAGGCUGGGCAGCCUGGCAGGUAGAGCCAGCGGGGGACACAGCCUGGCAGAUGGAGACUGGCAGGAGCCCGGCUGGGGGGCCGUCCUGCAGGGCUGGCAAGCUCUGGCACUCCUGUACCCAGAACUGACUUCGUCCCUCGCAGCCAUGGGGGCUGUACUAACCACACUCUUCCUCCACCUUUGCACUACAAAAAGCAAAUAAACAGACCAAAGAACUGUUUGCAUUUGCCCCAGAUGCUCCCUGGCUGCAGGAAGAGAUAAAGUUUGCUGACCCCUGGAGAGGAAGUCAUGACCCAUGGCUGGCAGAUGGAAGCCUCAGACCUGAAGAUUUCUCAAAGGGACUUGCUGCUGAGAGUGAUUAAUAUAUGUUUGCAGCUUGCAGCUGAAGCCUGAUGAUGGCUGUAGGAUUAAGGACAUCACCCAGAUGACAAUUUGCCUCCAAAGGUCUGGGGACCAACUGUGGAAGAACUGCAGGGAUAUUAUGUUAGAAUGUUCUUGUAUCUGGACAGGAUGAGAACUGUCUUAUAACAAAGUGCAGCCCCCAUAUCUGAGGGCACGUUUCCUGUGUGUUUAGGCACUUCCAAAGCAGGGAACACCUUCAAGGGCACCGGCCUUCCCAGAAACAGUGUUGGACCUGUGUUGAUGUCCUGGAGAGAGGGGACCUAGAAAAAGUCCUUAGCCUUCCCGUAAGGCACAAUUCUUCUCCCCUACAGAGCCUUAAAUACUCAAGCCAAGCAGUAAGCACUCUGUGCUCCAGUCUGUGGCUACAGACACACAAGGCCUGAAGCAAAAUCAAAUAGAAUGUAUCAUCACCACUGAGCCCACAGGAGCCCCCAGGUGCUUCUGAACAUCAAAGGAGAAGAAGCUCUCAGAGAUCAGGGUGAAUGCAGUGUUAGGUGUGUGGCAUUGCUUCUGGGUCCCUGCUUUGGUUUAAUUAAACUAAGUCUGGUGGUAAAGUGGUUCCCAAAUGCUCAUUGGUGGAUGGGCGGCAUCAGAAUUGUCUGAACAUCUUUUGAAAAACACAUAUGCAAAACUCAUAUGCAUGCAUGUUUUCCUCUGAGGGUUUGAUUUUCAGCAGGCUUGGGGUGGAUUCCUACUUUUAAGAACUCCCCAUGCCUAUCCUAAGUGAUUGUGACUCCCAGGAAGUGAAAGCUGACAAAUUGAACCUGUCAGCAUGGACAUUUACUUAUGAAAUAAAGGGACAUUUAUUUCACAGUC